rnacentral:rRNA from 1 species
UACGGAGGGUGCAAGCAUUGAUCGGAAUUACUGGGCGUAAAGGGCGCGUAGGCGGUUUAGAAAGUCAGAUGUGAAAUUCCGGGGCUCAACCCCGGAGCUGCAUUUGAAACUCCUAAGCUAGAGUUCAGUUAGGGUAAACGGAAUUCCACGUGUAGCGGUGAAAUGCGUAGAUAUGUGGAAGAACACCGGUGGUGAAAACGGUUUACUGGGCUGAUACUGACGCUGAGGCGCGAAAGCAUGGGGAGCAAACAGG